GAUGAACGCUGGCGGCGUGCCUAAUACAUGCAAGUCGAGCGAACAGACGAGGAGCUUGCUCCUUUGACGUUAGCGGCGGACGGGUGAGUAACACGUAGGUAACCUACCUAUAAGACUGGGAUAACUUCGGGAAACCGGAGCUAAUACCGGAUAAUAUUUCGAACCGCAUGGUUCGAUAGUGAAAGAUGGCUUUGCUAUCACUUAUAGAUGGACCUGCGCCGUAUUAGCUAGUUGGUAAGGUAACGGCUUACCAAGGCAACGAUACGUAGCCGACCUGAGAGGGUGAUGGGCCACACGGGAACUGAGAAACGGGCCAGACCCCUAAGGGGGGCAGCAGUAGGGAAUCUACCGCAAUGGGCGAAAGCCUAACGGAGAAACGCCGCGUGAGUGAUGAAGGUCUGCGGAUCGAAAAACUCUGUUAUUAGGGAAGAACAAACGUGUAAGUAACUGUGCACGUCUUGACGGGACCUAAUCAGAAAGCCACGGCUAACUACG
rnacentral:rRNA from 1 species